rnacentral:rRNA from 1 species
CUACGGGGGGCUGCAGUGAGGAAUAUUGCACAAUGGGGGGAACCCUGAUGCAGCAACGCCGCGUGGAGGAUGACGCAUUUCGGUGUGUAAACUCCUUUUAUAUGUCAAGAAAAUGACGGUAGCAUAUGAAUAAGCACCGGCUAACUCCGUGCCAGCAGCCGCGGUAAUGCGGAGGGUGCAAGCGUUACUCGGAAUCACUGGGCGUAAAGGACGCGUAGGCGGGUUGGAAAGUCAGGUGUGAAAUCCUACAGCUUAACUGUAGAACUGCACUUGAAACUUCUAAUCUAGAGUAUGGGAGGGGGAGAUGGAAUUAGUGGUGUAGGGGUAAUAUCCGUAGAUAUCACUAGGAAUACCUGAAGCGAAGGCGAUCUCCUGGAACAUUACUGACGCUAAGGCGUGAAAGCGUGGGGAGCAAACAGGAUUAGAUACCCGGGUAGUC